rnacentral:rRNA from 1 species
AGUGAACGCUGGCGGCAGGCCUAACACAUGCAAGUCGAACGGCAGCACAAGAGAGCUUGCUCUCUGGGUGGCGAGUGGCGGACGGGUGAGGAAUACGUCGGAAUCUGCCUAUUUGUGGGGGAUAACGUAGGGAAACUUACGCUAAUACCGCAUACGACCUACGGGUGAAAGCGGAGGACCUUCGGGCUUCGCGCAGAUAGAUGAGCCGACGUCGGAUUAGCUAGUUGGCGGGGUAAAGGCCCACCAAGGCGACGAUCCGUAGCUGGUCUGAGAGGAUGAUCAGCCACACUGGAACUGAGACACGGUCCAGACUCCUACGGGAGGCAGCAGUAGGGAAUAUUGGACAAUGGGCGCAAGCCUGAUCCAGCCAUGCCGCGUGGGUGAAGAAGGCCUUCGGGUUGUAAAGCCCUUUUGUUGGGAAAGAAAAGCAGCCGGUUAAUACCCGGUUGUCAUGACGGUACCCAAAGAAUAAGCACCGGCUAACUUCGUGCCAGCCGCCGCCGUAAGAC